CUGAUCAGAAGGUAUCGGUGAAUGCGAAGACGAAGGGCCCAGAGCGUAAAGAGAAGGAGGGGGAAAAGCUGAAACAUACAAGAAUUCCCAUUUCAAACCCAACUCCAUCAAAUCAAAACCACCAGAGCUCUAGCCAAGAGAAUGUUGAAAAACAUUUUGAGGAAUAUAAAAUUAGGUUUAAGUUUGUGUUUUAGAAAUUAUGCGAGUAUUAUAAAUCUUAAAAUUACUUGAAAUUAAUUUAUUUAAUUAUUAAUUUUAAAUUUUUAAAAGAUUAGUUGAAGUAUAUUUAAGAUACUUCGAAAGUUAUAAUUAAAAAAGAGAAGAAGAGAGAAUGUUUGAAAAAAACGGUGGCAGCAUGCACGAAUUCAAUGCCUAACGAUUAUAAGGAUCCAAUUGCUGACAAAGCUGUACAAUGUCUUAAUUUAUUUUAGUUCUUCAGUUUUGAGUUGUAACUGUAAUAAUGGCUUAUAAGGAUGACAUGGAUGAAAUUAAAUUUUGAUCAGGGAGGACCAAGCCAUGAAAAAAUUAAGGGGAGAGGGACCUAAACAAGGAAGAAGAAGAAAUCAUCAACCCUAUGGAUCUUGAGUUAUAUGCAAUGCUACAAGGAAUCACUAUGUUCUUUUAGUUUUAUUUAUAAAAUUAUUAUUGUAAUCAUAAUAUUUAUGUUUUCUCAUCGUAUUCAAACCACGAACAACCCACUAUGGUCAUUUUACUUAGGAAUAUUGAAAAAUCUGCUCUCUAAAAAGAGAUUAAUAUUGAGUUUUUGUGACUGGAAAACUCUUAUAUUAAUCCGGAAGUAAUUAUUGAUGCUUAGUUCAUGAAUAAAAUAAACACGAAAAAGAGAAAGUUGUGCUGAAACCCAUCGAAGAUGAUUUUAUGAAAAUAAUUUUUACUUUUUUAUCACUUAUUUUUCUCUUUUUUGCUCUAUCUCUCUUCUCAUAAAAUAAAUUUGAAAUUUACUUUCGAAGUAAAAUAAGAUUUUCUCCCGCUUCCUAUCUUAGAAAAAGGAAUCAUUCACGUGUCAAUGAGGUGCUGUUGUGGUGUCAAAUAUUAACAUAAUAUUUUUUUUAUAUCCAUUGUUUUAUCAAACUAUAAUAUUCCAAGGCAUUCUUGUCGUUGAACAUUCAAAGUCCCCGUUACAUUUCCCACGAUCAUAGAUGAAAACAAAAAAAAUAAAUUAAUUACAAAUUAAAAAAACAGCCAUGCACGCACGCAGACACACCUUUAAUUCUACUAACUAAAAAAAUAAAAUUAACAAUAGACUAUAAUUACUCUUAAAUAAAAAUAGACAGCUAAGAUGAGGUUACAUAGAUCCAAUUUAAAAAGCGUUUAAAAAUAUAAUAAUAAUAAUUUUUUAUUUUUAAAAAGAUAUUCUUGAUAUUAACACAUCAAAACCCUCCUAAUAAAUAAUCAAAAAAAUUAUAAUUGCUAAUUAUAAUUUUAUUCAAGUAAAAAAAUAGAAUCAGACUAUUUUAUUUUCUCCAGAGUUUAUCACUAGCUCAAAUUUCUCAAUAUAGGAGUGAAGAUAAAACGAUAAUCACGAGUUUGAGUCUUCUUAUAGUCACUAGAAGCUUAGAUGAUCGUUAAUUUCAUGAUUCGUAGGAUUAGUCUAGAUAUAUACAAUCAAAUCCAAACACUCAUGUUAAUAAAAAAAAUUUAAAAAUAAUUAUUCUCUAAAUAAAAAGAUGUCGUGUCCAAAUAAUUUGAAGGGGUGAAUAUAUAAUUAUUAAAAGGAUAUGUUUGAAAACACUAUACAAUCACAUGGACUAACAUAAACCUUGGGAGGGGCCACAACUUAAAAAGAAAACAAGGAAGAGUAGAGUUGGUGGUCAACAAGUAAUAUAGCCUCGGGCGUAAUGCGAGCCGUAAUUUUUGAAAUGGCCUAACUCCCGACACCCUCUACUACGUGCAAAACUAAAAUACCACUCUGCUUCAUAUAUUUUUCCAAUAAUCUUACGUCAUCAUACAACUAUUUGAGUGCCACGACAGGCACCACACAUACUAUUUAAUACUUUCAUGUCUACCUUAACUAGACAUUAGCCCUUUGAGACAUCAUUUGUUAAAUCAUGAAUCAGUUUCUUUUUUCUCAUAUUAUAUUUUGAAUUUGAAAGAAAAAGAAAAAACCCAAAGAGAAGUACCAAAUAUGUGUUUUUUUUUUAAAGUAAGAAAACCCUGAAGUUAUUUUUGUUAAUAUAUAUUUAUGUAUCAUCAUAUUGUUUCUAAUUUAAUCUAAUCAGACCACAAAAUAACUCAAAUUGAAAGGAAUAAAAAAGUUUAGAAAAUAAAUUGAGUUGAGGUGCUUCACUAUUUAAAAAAAAAUUAAUAAAUAUAUCAAAUUAAAAAACAAAUGAUUGAAAUGUAAAAGAAAAAAUAUGUGUAAUCCCUAAAUCCUCAUCAAUUUUAAUUUUGUCCAAAAAUUCUUUUUUAUUUUUUAUUUUUUAGUUCUUGACUUUGAAAAAGAAAAGAGAAAGUCAAUUAAAAAAAAUAAAAAAAAAAAUAUCAUUGAUUUAGUCACAUUUCGAUGAAGCAACUUGUCGUUUUUUAUGUCAACGAAAUAAGAAAAGUUUGAUAAUGAUAGUUUUUUUUCUUUAAACAUCCUUGAAAAAAGGAGAUUGGACUCAAAUACUUAUAAAUUUUUCAACUAGUAGAUUUUCACCUUUUGGAGUGAUUUUAAGGUGUUUUGCUAUUAUAAUGUGAUUUAGAGACUUUUUAAGGUGUGUUAAAGUUUGUUUUGUAUGAAAAUAAGUUGACCAAUGGAUUUUCAACCCAAAAAACCCUUCCUUGUUUUUUUUAGCCAACACAAUAAUAUUCAAAAUUUGGGCUAUAAUCUAAUGUGUAAUCUAUUUUUUUUGUUUUUAAAAAAGAAAGUUAUAAGAGGUGGAUGACAAGUCACCGACCUCUUAAAAAAUAUCAUGGCUCAAGCAUGCGGGCUUGUCUCAAGUCAAAGUGCCUAGGUCUUUUUAUAUAUAUUUUUUAAUUUUUUAAUUUAAUAUUUGAUUAAUUUUGAAUUAAUAUUUAUAUUUUUUUAUCAUAUAAUUAAAUUUAAAAAUAUAAUUAAAAUUCAUGACUUGAAUAACAUGUUUAGUUGAGGUUUACAAAAAUAUCAUAUUGAAAUAUUAUUUAAAAGUCAAAGGAUUAAUGUGAGGAUCAUUUAUGUUAUCUUUGUUCUUAGACUUUUUUUUUUCUUUAUUGGUCAUAUAUUUUUCUUUUUUAGAUCUACAAAGUCAACUAGAUCAUUUUAAAAUAAUUCUUAUAUAAUAUAGUUUAAAACUUAAAAUAGAAAAGGAAUCAUGUCAGAAAAUUCAAGUUCCUUCUACUUUACUGGGUUUAAUGAUGAUAUUAAAAAAAUUUCAUAUGACUUAAAUUUUAUUUUAUUUUAUAAAAUAAUUGUUCUGAUCAAUGCAUCAUAACAUAAAUAGUGAUGUUGUAUAUUACAAUCCAGGAAUUAUUUUUAAUUGAAAGUAUUGUCUUAAAUCAUUUAUAUGUACAGAUGUUAAUUAAUCAUGGUGGUGGGUGAAGGUUCAAAACCCUGAAACCGACACUGCAGAUGAGAAGCACCUGCAAAUAUAUUUAAAUUCGGCCAUUGAUACAACACCACACCAAACAAGCAAGUAGGACCAGCUUGAGCUGAAGGGGUAAUAAGAGCAAGGACUUGGCUCACACGGUUCUAGUAUGGCUGGGAAAUCAAAUUAAUUGCCUGCUGAGAUACUACACAAUAUUUCAUAUAGCUACUAAAAUACUAAAAUUAUUGAAAAUCAAUUAGCUUUUUAUUUUUAUUUUUUGGUGGAAAAACCGAGUUCUUAUUGCAAAUCAAGAUUUAUAAAGCCUCUUACAUGGACAUUCUCCUUUGAUUUUAUACAUCAGCAAUAUGAACAGUUUAUCCACGCACAGUACUACAGAAGGGAUUAAUUCAUACAUAAAGUAGUAAAAUAAAACAAAAGAACAUUCAAUCAUCGAACAGUGAUGCAUUAACAUUAAUUAUAAUACUGUUUAUAUGUAGAAAGAACUCCAUGAUUGAUCAUUUGAUGACAAAAAAAGGACUGCAAAUUGCAAAGAAGACACCAGACCCGGGAAACCAGCCAAACCUUGUUAAUUUCAUUGCCAGCAAAUCUGCCUUGGAAAUUCUAAGAGCAGUUUGAAUAUCUCUCUCUUAUUGUAACCCUAUCUCUCUAGCUAUCCCCAUUCCCCAUGUUUUAUGAGCCAUAACAGGAAGAAAAAAAAGCAAGAAUCGAAACCAAGAACAUGAACAUAAACAAGAUAAAAGAAGAACAAGUCAAAUGCCUGGCUUUCCCAUGUACGCCGCUAAAUUUAUAAUCUGUUUGCCUCGGUGAAUUCUUCUCCGAGACCAGACUUCCCAAAAGCAAACCCCAUGUUUAUACAUAUCUCUAAUCCUUCUCCGGGCCAAAGAAACUUGCAGGUAAGUUUGAAUGUAUAGCAUGCACGUAUGAUCUGAUCUUGCCGGAAAGUUGAUCACGCUUCUUCCUCCUCCUCCUCCUCCUCCUCCUCCUCCUGAUCAGCAGGAGACCCAUUUUCAUUAAUCUCUCCGUGAGCUUGCUUCUAACUAUGAUCUCUAGUGCCGAGAAAGAAAGAGAUCAGGAGCAGGAGAUAGCUAAACAAGAAAAGUAAAGAGGAGCAGUGUGUCGUCCUAGAACUUGAACACCCAACAAGAAGAUUAAUAUAUAAAAAGGGAAUAGAAAAGGAGAGAAAGGGGUAGAGGAAAGGGCGUUCCCGAGAAGAUGACGAGCGUUUCCCGUUAAUGUUGUUUUCAAAGGUUGGGUUUUAAUUUUCUUAAACGUGGGGCCAAUCAAAA
rnacentral:lncRNA from 1 species